rnacentral:rRNA from 1 species
AUUGAACGCUGGCGGCAGGCUUAACACAUGCAAGUCGAGCGGGGGAGGUUGCUUCGGUAACUGACCUAGCGGCGGACGGGUGAGUAAUGCUUAGGAAUCUGCCUAUUAGUGGGGGACAACAUUCCGAAAGGGAUGCUAAUACCGCAUACGCCCUACGGGGGAAAGCAGGGGAUCUUCGGACCUUGCGCUAAUAGAUGAGCCUAAGUCGGAUUAGCGAGUUGGUGGGGUAAAGGCCUACCAAGGCGACGAUCUGUAGCGGGUCUGAGAGGAUGAUCCGCCACACUGGGACUGAGACACGGCCCAGACUCCUACGGGAGGCAGCAGUGGGGAAUAUUGGACAAUGGGCGGAAGCCUGAUCUAGCCAUGCCGCGUGUGUGAAGAAGGCCUUUUGGUUGUAAAGCACUUUAAGCGAGGAGGAGGCUCUUAAGGUUAAUACCCUUGAUGAGUGGACGUUACUCGCAGAAUAAGCACCGGCUAACUCUGUGCCAGCCGCCGCAGUAAUAC